rnacentral:tRNA from 1 species
GCAUCCGUAGCUCAGCUGGAUAGAGUACUCGGCUACGNNCUACGAACCGAGCGGUCGGAGGUUCGAAUCCUCCCGGAUGCACCA